rnacentral:rRNA from 1 species
ACUCCUACGGGAGGCAGCAGUGGGGAAUCUUGCGCAAUGGGCGAAAGCCUGACGCAGCGACSCCGCGUGAGUGAUGAAGGCCUUCSGGUUGUAAAGCUCUGUGGAGGGGGACGAAUAAGUGUCGUCSAAUAGACSGCAUGAUGACGGUACCCCUUUAGCAAGCACCGGCUAACUCUGUGCCMGCMGCCGCGGUAAGACAGAGGGUGCAAACGUUGUUCGGAAUUACUGGGCGUAAAGCGCGUGUAGGCUGCUCGGAAAGUCGGAUGUGAAAGCCCUGGGCUCAACCCAGGAAGAGCAUUCSAAACUUCCGAGCUUGAGUUUCGGAGAGGCAGGCGGAAUUCUCGGUGUAGAGGUGAAAUUCGUAGAUAUCGAGAGGAACACCGGUGGCGAAGGCGGCCUGCAGGACGAUGACUGACGCUGAGACGCGAAAGCGUGGGGAGCAAACAGGAUUAGAUACCCUGGUAGUCCACUCCGUAAACGAUGGGUGCUAGGUGUCGCGGGCUUUGACCCCUGCGGUGCCGUAGCUAACGCAUUAAGCACCCCGCCUGGGGAGUACGGCCGCAAGGCUAAAACUCAAAUGAAUUGACGG